GACGAACGCUGGCGGCGUGCUUAACACAUGCAAGUCGAACGGAAAGGCCCUGCUUUUGUGGGUUGCUCGAGUGGCGAACGGGUGAGUAACACGUGAGUAACCUGCCCUUGACUUUGGGAUAACUUCAGGAAACUGGGGCUAAUACCGGAUAGGAGCUCCUGCUGCAUGGUGGGGGUUGGAAAGUUUCGGCGGUUGGGGAUGGAAUCGCGGCUUAUCAGCUUGUUGGUGGGGGAGUGGCUUACCAAGGCUUUGACGGGUAGCCGGCGGGAGAGGGUGACCGGCCACAUUGGGACUGAGAUACGGCCCAGACUCCUACGGGAGGCAGCAGUGGGGAAUAUUGCACAAUGGGAGGAAGCCUGAUGCAGCAACGCCGCGUGCGGGAUGACGGCCUUCGGGUUGUAAACCGCUUUCGCCUGUGACGAAGCGUGAGUGACGGUAAUGGGUAAAGAAGCACCGGCUAACUACGUG
rnacentral:rRNA from 1 species